rnacentral:lncRNA from 1 species
AGGAGUGGUGCUCAAGUACCUGGCAUCACUUGGUGACCUCCCUGAAGCUGAACACAUGGAAAAUGGUUGAAUUAAAAAAGAUCUGUCCUCUGCUUGCAGAAUGCACCUUUCUAAAUGAAGAGUCACCAAAUGAGAAAGGGAUGAUUUAUUUUCAAAUUGCCCUCCAUACAUUUUGAGCAAGUUAUAAGAAUGGCACCUUUCAUAAGCAUAAAGAGAUACAAUUCAUGAUGACUCGCUUCUGUAUUUACAAGAUUUGGGCUGAACUCUGAGCCUGGAGCUGUUGGGUGCUGAAGAUGGCAGCUGAGAAGCAGUCUCCACUACAGCUGGUAUAAACAAUGCGACUGCUUUUACAGAGGAAAGAAGAAUUUGAGCUAAACAACUCAUUACAGAGUGGAGGGAUCAGAGAUUUUGUUUUGGUUAACCUGUGCUUUGGCAAUCUGAGGAAUGAAUACAAAUUGUGUGAUACAAGAACCUUAAAAAAAAAAUUGGAUUUUUGUUGUUGUUAUUCAAGAUCUAGCAAAGCAAACAAAUCUCUUUUGGCAGACUAUGCUUACUGUUACAAUGUUUGCAAUUCCAUGUUUUACAUCUAAAACUAAAGGAUAUCGGCCUGUAUAAUUUGACUUUUGUACAUUUUCCAUUUAAGAUUCUAACUUCAUGAACAUUAAGAAAAGAUUAUUUUUAAGCUCCAUUUUUAUUGCCAGCAAUUUCUGUUCAUAUAAUAUUCUCAACAUACCUGAACUUCAAUACUGUCAAAGUUAACACAUGUAAUCUUGUUUCAAGAGACUU